GGCUGGGCAGGUCACUCAUGCCUGUAAUCCCAGCACUUUGGGAGGCUGAGGCAGGCAGAUCACCUAAGGCCAGGAAUUCGACACCAGCCUGGCCAACGUGGCAAAACCCGUCUCUACUAAAAAUACAAAAAUUAGCCGGGCGUGGUGGUGUGCGCCUGGAAUCCCAGCUACCCAGGAGGCUGAGGCAGGAGAAAUGCUGGAACCCGGGAGGCAGAGGCUGCAGUGAGCUGAGAUCAUGCCACUACUGCACUCCAGCCUGGGUGACACAGCAAGACUCCCUCUAAAAAAAGAAAAAAAGAAAAGAAAAGAAAAGAAAAUGAUAUAUCCAUGAUGAAUUAAAAUGGAGUGGAACCCACUGAUGGGAAAGCCACAGAAGGUACCAGUUAUCCACUCACUGACUUAGGUGCCUCCACUAGAAUUCUCAGCACGUUUUUGCAGAACCUGGGCAACAAGAGCGAAACCCCAUCUCAAAA
rnacentral:lncRNA from 1 species